rnacentral:rRNA from 1 species
UACGAAGGGUGCAAACGUUGCUCGGAAUUAUUGGGCGUAAAGCGCACGUAGGCGGCUUUGCAAGUCCCAUGUGAAAGCCCACGGCUUAACCGUGGAAGUGCAUGGGAAACUGCGCCGCUAGAGACCGGAAGAGGGUAGUGGAAUUCCCAGUGUAGAGGUGAAAUUCGUAGAUAUUGGGAAGAACACCAGUGGCGAAGGCGGCUACCUGGUCCGGUACUGACGCUGAGGUGCGAAAGCGUGGGGAGCAAACAGG